rnacentral:rRNA from 1 species
AUUGAACGCUGGCGGCAGGCCUAACACAUGCAAGUCGAGCGGAUGAAGGGAGCUUGCUCCUGGAUUCAGCGGCGGACGGGUGAGUAAUGCCUAGGAAUCUGCCUGGUAGUGGGGGAUAACGUCCGGAAACGGGCGCUAAUACCGCAUACGUCCUGAGGGAGAAAGUGGGGGAUCUUCGGACCUCACGCUAUCAGAUGAGCCUAGGUCGGAUUGGCUAGUUGGUGGGGUAAAGGCCUACCAAGGCGACGAUCCGUAACUGGUCUGAGAGGAUGAUCAGUCACACUGGAACUGAGACACGGUCCAGACUCCUACGGGAGGCAGCAGUGGGGAAUAUUGGACAAUGGGCGAAAGCCUGAUCCAGCCAUGCCGCGUGUGUGAAGAAGGUCUUCGGAUUGUAAAGCACUUUAAGUUGGGAGGAAGGGCAGUAAGUUAAUACCUCGCUGUUUUGACGUUACCAACAGAAUAAGCACCGGCUAACUUCGUG